GACGAACGCUGGCGGCGUGCUUAACACAUGCAAGUCGAACGGAAAGGCCCUGCUUUUGUGGGGUGCUCGAGUGGCGAACGGGUGAGUAACACGUGAGUAACCUGCCCUUGACUUUGGGAUAACUUCAGGAAACUGGGGCUAAUACCGGAUAGGAGCUCCUGCUGCAUGGUGGGGGUUGGAAAGUUUCGGCGGUUGGGGAUGGACUCGCGGCUUAUCAGCUUGUUGGUGGGGUAGUGGUUUACCAAGGCUUUGACGGGUAGCCGGCCUGAGAGGGUGGCCGGCCACAUUGGGACUGAGAUACGGCCCAGACUCCUACGGGAGGCAGCAGUGGGGAAUAUUGCACAAUGGGCGGAAGCCUGAUGCAGCAACGCCGCGUGCGGGAUGACGGCCUUCGGGUUGUAAACCGCUUUCGCCUGUGACGAAGCGUGAGUGACGGUAAUGGGUAAAGAAGCACCGGCUAACUACGUG
rnacentral:rRNA from 1 species